UACGUAGGGGGCAAGCGUUGUCCGGAUUUAUUGGGCGUAAAGAGCUCGUAGGCGGUUUGUUGCGUCUAUCGUGAAAACCUGCAGCUUAACUGUGGGCUUGCGGUGGAUACGGGCAGACUUGAGUUCGGUAGGGGAGACUGGAAUUCCUGGUGUAGCGGUGAAAUGCGCAGAUAUCAGGAGGAACACCGGUGGCGAAGGCGGUGAUCUGGGCCGGCACUGACGCUGAGGAGCGAAAGCGUGGGGAGCAAACAGG
rnacentral:rRNA from 1 species